rnacentral:rRNA from 1 species
CCUACGGGAGGCAGCAGUGAGGAAUAUUGGUCAAUGGCCGAGAGGCUGAACCAGCCAAGUCGCGUGAGGGAAGACGGCCCUACGGGUUGUAAACCUCUUUUGUCGGGGAGCAAAGCGAACCACGUGUGGGUCAUUGAGAGUACCCGAAGAAAAAGCAUCGGCUAACGCCGUGCCAGCAGCCGCGGUAAUACGGAGGAUGCGAGCGUUAUCCGGAUUUAUUGGGUUUAAAGGGGGCGCAGGCGGAGGUGCAAGUCAGCGGUCAAAUUGCGGGGCUCAACCCCGUACUGCCGUUGAAACUGCAUCCCUUGCGUGCGCGAGAAGUCUGCGGACUGCGUGGUGUAGCGGUGAACUGCAUAGCUAUCACGC